rnacentral:rRNA from 1 species
UUAGUCUUUUAAUAGGAGGCUGGAAUGAAAGGUUUAACGAGAAAUUGACUGUCUCAAUUGCAAUCUUGAAUUUAUCUUUUGAGUCAAAAGACUUAAAUAUAAUUGGUGGACGAGAAGACCCUAUAGAGCUUGACAAUUAUUUUUUUAUAUUUACUUAGACUGAAAUUAUUUAUUUAUAUUAAAAAAAUUGUUUUGUUGGGGUGACAAUAAAUAUAUAUUUAACUUUUAUCAUAGUAUUAACAUUAAUUUAUGACUUUUGGAUCCAAAAAUUUUGAUCAUUAGACUAAGUUACCUUAGGGAU